rnacentral:rRNA from 1 species
UACAGAGGUCUCGAGCGUUGUUCGGAUUCAUUGGGCGUAAAGGGUGCGUAGGCGGCGGGGUAAGUCGGAUGUGAAAUCCUGGGGCUCAACCCCAGAACUGCAUUCGAUACUGCCUUGCUCGAGUACUGGAGAGGAGACUGGAAUUUACGGUGUAGCAGUGAAAUGCGUAGAUAUCGUAAGGAAGACCAGUGGCGAAGGCGGCUCACUGGUCCGGUACUGACGCUGAGGUGCGAAAGCGUGGGGAGCAAACAGG